rnacentral:rRNA from 1 species
CGGCGGACGGGUGAGUAAUGUAUGGGGAUCUGCCCGAUAGAGGGGGAUAACUACUGGAAACGGUAGCUAAUACCGCAUAACGUCGCAAGACCAAAGAGGGGGACCUUCGGGCCUCUUGCCAUCGGAUGUGCCCAGAUGGGAUUAGCUAGUAGGUGGGGUAAAGGCUCACCUAGGCGACGAUCCCUAGCUGGUCUGAGAGGAUGACCAGCCACACUGGAACUGAGACACGGUCCAGACUCCUACGGGAGGCAGCAUG